GUUCAAUGGCACAGCAUGAAAGAUAUUGUCUUAACGUGCCUGCUUCUUUUAAAAAUCACUUUUGCUUAUUUUACUGAAGAAAAGGUUAUCUUCAAAGUUGUUGAAACAAAUAGCAUAUACUUUUAAAGUUAUGACAUUUCAGAAAUAUAGAAAGAACAAUGGGUGCAAGAAACAAGAAUCACACAAAAGGAGUUUAUUGCCUUUAUUGCUUAUAGGGACAUCCAGACUCCUAAAGCAGUUUAGCUUGCUCAAGUACUGUAUGUGUGAGUAGUGUGUCCUCAUUUAUUCCAGUUAACAAAAAGUGCAAAUUUUAAUAGUAAAUUAACCUAGUUACACCCACUUGGCUGUCAGUCAAAAAACUGGUCCUGUUACUUCCUGGUUUGUUUAGCUCAGUGAAGCGAGACAGCAAUUGCCCAGAGCACAUGCCUUGCAAAGACUUCUCAUUGAGCUGCAUUAGGAAGUCUGUGAUUGGACAGCCACAGAAAGUAUGUGCUGGUUGUAGAUAUACCCCCAAUGAAAG